GACGAACGCUGGCGGCGUGCUUAACACAUGCAAGUCGAACGCUGAAGCACCAGCUUGCUGGUGUGGAUGAGUGGCGAACGGGUGAGUAAUACGUGAGUAACCUGCCCUUGACUCUGGGAUAAGCCCGGGAAACUGGGUCUAAUACUGGAUGCUACAUGUCACCGCAUGGUGGUGUGUGGAAAGGGUUUACUGAUCUUGGAUGGGCUCACGGCCUAUCAGCUUGUUGGUGAGGUAAUGGCUCACCAAGGCGACGACGGGUAGCCGGCCUGAGAGGGUGACCGGCCACACUGGGACUGAGACACGGCCCAGACUCCUACGGGAGGCAGCAGUGGGGAAUAUUGCACAAUGGGCGAAAGCCUGAUGCAGCGACGCCGCGUGAGGGAUGACGGCCUUCGGGUUGUAAACCUCUUUCAGCAGGGAAGAAGCCACAAGUGACGGUACCUGCAGAAGAAGCGCCGGCUAACUACGUG
rnacentral:rRNA from 1 species